rnacentral:rRNA from 1 species
UACGAAGGGGGCUAGCGUUGCUCGGAAUUACUGGGCGUAAAGGGCGCGUAGGCGGCCGUUCAAGUCGGAGGUGAAAUCCCAAGGCUCAACCUUGGAAUUGCCUUCGAUACUGGAUGGCUAGAGACCGGAAGAGGUAAGUGGAACUGCGAGUGUAGAGGUGAAAUUCGUAGAUAUUCGCAAGAACACCAGUGGCGAAGGCGGCUUACUGGUCCGGUUCUGACGCUGAGGCGCGAAAGCGUGGGGAGCAAACAGG